UACGUAGGGUGCAAGCGUUAAUCGGAAUUACUGGGCGUAAAGCGUACGCAGGCGGCUAUGUAAGACAGGUGUGAAAUCCCCGGGCCUAACCUGGGAACUGCAUUUGUGACUGCAUAGCUAGAGUCCGUCAGAGGGGGGUGGAAUUCCUAGUGUAGAGGUGAAAUUCGUAGAUAUUAGGAAGAACACCGGUGGCGAAGGCGGCCCACUGGUCCGGUACUGACGCUGAGGUGCGAAAGCGUGGGGAGCAAACAGG
rnacentral:rRNA from 1 species